rnacentral:rRNA from 1 species
ACGGAGGGUGCGAGCGUUGUCCGGAAUCACUGGGCGUAAAGGGCGCGUAGGUGGCGCGGGAAGUCAACGGUGAAAGUUCAGGGCUCAACCCUGAAUCGGCCGUCGAUACUCCCGGGCUUGAGCACUGUAGAGGCAGGUGGAAUUCCGGGUGUAGCGGUGGAAUGCGUAGAGAUCCGGAAGAACACCGGUGGCGAAGGCGGCCUGCUGGGCAGUUGCUGACACUGAUGCGCGACAGCGUGGGGAGCAAACAGGA